CGGCACUCCAGAUGUUUUAGACUACACCUCCCGUGAUGCUUUGCCAGCAUUAUGGGUGAAAAAGCAUUAUGGGAGAUGUAGUCCAAAACAUCUGGAGUGUGG
rnacentral:miRNA from 1 species